rnacentral:rRNA from 1 species
GCGAGUAUAGCAAAUGUCGUCUGGCAUAAUAAGUUUCGCUGGGGUUGAAGGUGUAAAGCACGGAUUAUAAUCGCCCUCGGGCAAAUUUUUUGACUCUGGCCUCAAAUCAGGUAGGACUACCCGCUGAANUUAAGCAUAUCAAUAAGCGGAGGAAAAGAAACUAACAAGGAUUCCCCUAGUAGCGGCGAGUGAAGCGGGAAGAGCUCAAAUUUGUAAUCUGGCGUCUUUCAGGCGUCCGAGUUGUAAUCUAUAGAAGUGUUUUCCGUGCUGGACCAUGUCCAAGUCCCUUGGAACAGGGUAUCAAAGAGGGUGACAAUCCCGUACUUGAUAUGGCCACCAGUGCUCUGUGAUACACUUUCUACGAGUCGAGUUGUUUGGGAAUGCAGCUCAAAAUGGGUGGUAAAUUCCAUCUAAAGCUAAAUAUUGGCGAGAGACCGAUAGCGAACAAGUACCGUGAGGGAAAGAUGAAAAGCACUUUGGAAAGAGAGUUAAACAGUACGUGAAAUUGUUGAAAGGGAAACGAUUGAAGUCAGUCGUGUUCAUUGGACUCAGCCGGUUCUUCCGGUCUAUUUCCUUUGAACGGGUCAACAUCAGUUUUGUCCGGUGGAUAAAGGCAGAGAGAAAGUGGCUCCCUCGGGAGUGUUAUAGCUUUUUGUCACAUACACUGGAGGAGACUGAGGACUGCAGCUCGCCUUUUGGCCGGGG